UGCAAGUCGAGCGGGAUCUUUAGGAUCUGAUCCUUCGGGUGACGAACCUAAAGUGAGAGCGGCGAACGGGUGAGUAACGCGUGGGCAAGCUGCCCUGAAGUUGGGGAUAGCCCUUCGAAAGGAGGGGUAAUACCGAAUGUGGUCUCUUUCCGCAUGGAAAGAUGUCUAAAGGUGGGGAUUCUUCGGAACCUAUUGCUUCAGGAUGUGCCCGCGUCCCAUCAGCUUGUUGGUAAGGUAAUGGCUUACCAAGGCUAAGACGGGUAGCUGGUCUGAGAGGAUGGUCAGCCACACUGGGACUGAGACACUGCCCAGACUCCUACGGGAGGCUGCAGUCGAGAAUCUUGGACAAUGCACGAAAGUGUGAUCCAGCGACGCCGCGUGGAGGAUGAAGGCCUUAGGGUUGUAAACUCCUGUCAUGAGAGAAAAAUCGUUCCUAUGAUAAUAUCAUAGGAGCUUGAUGGUAUCUCAAGAGGAAGCCACGGCUAACUCUGUGCCAGCAGCCGCGGUAAUACAGAGGUGGCGAGCGUUGUUCGGAUUUACUGGGCGUAAAGGGUGCGUAGGCGGCAAAAUGUGUCGGAUGUGAAAUCCCACGGCUCACCCGUGGAACUGCAUCCGAAACUAUUUAGCUAGAGUACGGUAGAGGAAAGCGGAAUUCUCAGUGUAGCGGUGAAAUGCGUAGAUAUUGAGAGGAACACCGGCGGCGAAAGCGGCUUUCUGGAACGAUACUGACGCUGAGGCACAAAAGCCAGGGUAGCGAAGAGGAUUAGAUACCCUCGUAGUCCUGGCCGUAAACGUUGUGUACUUGGUGUGGGAGGCUUUGUCCCCUUCCGCGCCGUAGCUAACGCGAUAAGUACACCGCCUGGGGAGUACGGCCGCAAGGCUAAAACUCAAAGGAAUUGACGGGGGCCCGCACAAGCGGUGGAGCAUGUGGCUUAAUUCGAUGCAACGCGAA
rnacentral:rRNA from 1 species